rnacentral:rRNA from 1 species
CGUGAUCCGCCCUUCGGGGUGGUGAAAGUGGCGCACGGGUGAGUAACGCGUGGAUAAUCUGCCCGAGGAUUUGGGAUAACAUCUCGAAAGGGGUGCUAAUACCGAAUAAGCCCACGGGGUCUACGGAUCUUGCGGGAAAAGGGGGGGACCUUCGGGCCUCCUGUCCUUGGAUGAGUCUGCGUACCAUUAGCUAGUUGGUGGGGUAAUGGCCUACCAAGGCGACGAUGGUUAGCUGGUCUGAGAGGAUGAUCAGCCACACUGGAACUGAGACACGGUCCAGACUCCUACGGGAGGCAGCAGUGGGGAAUUUUGCGCAAUGGGGGAAACCCUGACGCAGCAACGCCGCGUGGGUGAUGAAGGCCUUCGGGUCGUAAAGCUCUGUCUGGAGGGAAGAAAUGAUUGGGAGCUAAUACCUCUUGAUCUUGACGGUACCUCUGAAGGAAGCACCGGCUAACUCCGUGCCAGCAGCCGCGGUAAUACGGAGGGUGCAAGCGUUGUUCGGAAUUAUUGGGCGUAAAGCGCGUGUAGGCGGUC